AUUGAACGCUGGCGGCAGGCCUAACACAUGCAAGUCGAGCGGAUGAAGGGAGCUUGCUCCUGGAUUCAGCGGCGGACGGGUGAGUAAUGCCUAGGAAUCUGCCUGGUAGUGGGGUAUAACGUCCGGAAACGGGCGCUAAUACCGCAUACGUCCUGAGGGAGAAAGUGGGGGAUCUUCGGACCUCACGCUAUCAGAUGAGCCUAGGUCGGAUUAGCUAGUUGGUGGGGUAAAGGCCUACCAAGGCGACGAUCCGUAACUGGUCUGAGAGGAUGAUCAGUCACACUGGAACUGAGACACGGUCCAGACUCCUACGGGAGGCAGCAGUGGGGAAUAUUGGACAAUGGGCGAAAGCCUGAUCCAGCCAUGCCGCGUGUGAAGAAGGUCUUCGGAUUGUAAAGCACUUUAAGUUGGGAGGAAGGGCAGUAAGUUAAUACCUUGCUGUUUUGACGUUACCAACAGAAUAAGCACCGGCUAACUUCGUG
rnacentral:rRNA from 1 species